GAGGCACUCAAGUAGAGCAGCCAGGAGCAGGUUACACUGUGGACCUUAGAGUCCACAAACAAGAGUCCAAACCCUAUAAUGAGCAGAGCUGCCGCCCUGGCUUUCAUGGCCACACAGAAGAUGGAAACAAGCCCAGCCCGAGAUGCAGUAUCUGCCCAGAUGAGCGGCUGCCCUGUCUGCAGGGCCCUUCCAGCCCCAGCUGGUACCUCUCUAUGUCUUCUGUUCUAUGGACUUGGUGAGCCUCGGAGCUUCUCUCCAGAAAUGAUGUCCUGAAAUUGUCAGUCAUGGUGUACAAAAAUUGAACAAAAGGCUCCUUCAAUGAAAAUCCAAGAGCGAACAUAGGUUACCACAAAUGGAACAAAUCUGGAACUGGCCUAAAACAAUCUUGAGCUUCCUAGAUGCCAAAGCAAAAAGGAAAUCCAUGACCUGCAGCCACAGUCACAUGCUGAGAAAAGCUGCUGCUACCUAACCCUGCCAGGGUACAUUAUCGUUGUUGGAGCUUGGGAAGACAUAUUAUGUGACCUCAUCAUUCUGACCUCAUCAAAACCCCAUGUUAAGUUCUGGUUCACUGACACAUUUUAUUACUUAGUAGCUAACUCCAGCUUAAGUUUUGUCAGAAAUGUAUAAA
rnacentral:lncRNA from 1 species